rnacentral:rRNA from 1 species
UACGUAGGCAGCGAGCGUUGUUCGGAGUUACUGGGCGUAAAGGGUGCGUAGGCGGCCCUAUAGGUCAGAGGUCAAAGGCUACGGCUCAACCGUAGUAAGCCUUUGAAACUGUAGGGCUUGAGUGCAGGAGAGGAGAGUGGAAUUCCUAGUGUAGCGGUGAAAUGCGUAGAUAUUAGGAGGAACACCAGUGGCGAAGGCGACUCUCUGGACUGCAACUGACGCUGAGGCGCGAAAGCGUGGGGAGCAAACAGG